GAUGAACGCUGGCGGCGUGCCUAAUACAUGCCAGUCGAGCGAACAGACGAGGAGCUUGCUCCUCUGACGUUAGCGGCGGACGGGUGAGUAACACGUGGAUAACCUACCUAUAAGACUGGGAUAACUUCGGGAAACCGGAGCUAAUACCGGAUAAUAUAUUGAACCGCAUGGUUCAAUAGUGAAAGACGGUUUUGCUGUCACUUAUAGAUGGAUCCGCGCCGCAUUAGCUAGUUGGUAAGGUAACGGCUUACCAAGGCAACGAUGCGUAGCCGACCUGAGAGGGUGAUCGGGCACACUGGAACGUAGAAACGGUCCAGACUCCUACGGGAGGCAGCAGUAGGGAAUCUUCCGCAAUGGGCGAAAGCCUGACGGAGCAACGCCGCGUGAGUGAUGAAGGUCUUCGGAUCGUAAAACUCUGUUAUUAGGGAAGAACAAAUGUGUAAGUAACUAUGCACGUCUUGACGGUACCUAAUCAGAAAGCCACGGCUAACUACGUG
rnacentral:rRNA from 1 species